UACAGAGGGGGCAAGCGUUGUUCGGAAUUACUGGGCGUAAAGGGCGCGUAGGCGGCCUUCUAAGUCGAACGUGAAAUCCCCGGGCUCAACCCGGGAACUGCGUCCGGUACUGGAAGGCUUGAAUCCGGGAGAGGGAUGCGGAAUUCCAGGUGUAGCGGUGAAAUGCGUAGAUAUCAGGAGGAAUACCGGUGGCGAAAGCGACUCUCUGGACGGCAACUGACGCUGAGGCACGAAAGCGUGGGGAGCAAACAGG
rnacentral:rRNA from 1 species